AACGAACGCUGGCGGCAUGCCUAACACAUGCAAGUCGAACGAGACCUUCGGGUCUAGUGGCGCACGGGUGCGUAACGCGUGGGAACCUGCCCUUAGGUUCGGAAUAACUCCCCGACAGGGGUGCUAAUUCCGGAUAAUGUCUUCGGACCAAAGAUUUAUCGCCUUUGGAUGGGCCCGCGUUGGAUUAGCUAGUUGGUAGGGUAAAAGCCUACCAAGGCGACGAUCCAUAGCUGGUCUGAGAGGAUGAUCAGCCACACUGGGACUGAGACACGGCCCAGACUCCUACGGGAGGCAGCAGUGGAGAAUAGUGGACAAGGGGCGAAAGCCUGAUCCAGCAAUGCCGCGUGAGUGAUGAAGGCCUGAGGGUUGUAAAGCUCUUUUACCCGGGAUGAUAAUGACAGUACCGGGAGAAUAAGCUCCGGCUAACUCCGU
rnacentral:rRNA from 1 species